rnacentral:miRNA from 14 species
GAAAUGCCUCCAUGAGGUCCAACUGUAAGGCAUUUUCUCAAUUAGUGAUCAAAGGGAGAGGGCCUCUUGUGGGUGGUACCAUUCCUGGGCUAGUAGUCUU